rnacentral:rRNA from 1 species
AAAGAAAGUAAGCAAGGGCGCAUGGCGGAUGCCUUGGCUCUCGGAGGCGAUGAAGGACGUGAUAAGCUGCGAUAAGCUUCGGGUAGGUGCAAAUAACCUUUGAUCCGAAGAUUUCCGAAUGGGACAACCCGGCAUUCUGAAGGAAUGUCAUCCAUCCUGGAUGGAAGCUAACGCAGGGAACUGAAACAUCUUAGUACCUGCAGGAAAAGAAAAUAAUAAUGAUUCCCCAAGUAGUGGCGAGCGAACGGGGAUUAGCCCAAACCAAUGUUGUUACGGCAAUAUUGGGGUUGUAGGACCACGAUGUCGCAAGAACUUUAGUGAGAAGAAUUCUUUGGAAAAUGAAACCAUAGACGGUGAUAGUCCGGUAUUCGAAGCUAAACGAAGCGUAGUGGUAUCCUGAGUAGCGCGGGACACGAGGAAUCUUGCGUGAAUCUGCCGGGACCAUCCGGUAAGGCUAAAUACUCCCGAGAGACCGAUAGCGAACCAGUACUGUGAAGGAAAGGUGAAAAGCACUUCGAAUAGAAGAGUGAAAUAGUCCCUGAAACCGUGCGCCUACAAGCGGUCGGAGCAGCGUAAGUUGUGACGGCGUGCCUUUUGCAUAAUGAACCUACGAGUUACUUUUUCCGGCAAGGUUAAGCAUUUCAAAAUGUGUAGCCGAAGCGAAAGCGAGUCUGAACAGGGCGAUUAGUCGGAAGGAGUAGACGCGAAACCAAGUGAUCUACCCUUGGUCAGGUUGAAGGUUAGGUAACACUAACUGGAGGACCGAACCGAUAAGCGUUGAAAAGCUUCCGGAUGAACUGAGGGUGGGGGUGAAAGGCUAAUCAAACUUGGAGAUAGCUCGUACUCCCCGAAAUGCAUUUAGGUGCAGCCUUGGGAAUUACUACUGUGAGGUAGAGCGACUGAUAAGAUGCGAGGGCUUCACCGCCUAUCAAGUCUUGAUAAACUCCGAAUGCGCAGUAGUUCGAUCCCAGGAGUGAGGGCAUGGGUGCUAAGGUCCAUGUCCUAAAGGAGAAGAAUCCGGACCAUCAGCUAAGGUCCCGAAAUAAUUGCUAAGUUGAACUAACGAAGUCAGAUUGCUAAGACAGCUAGGAUGUUGGCUUGGAAGCAGCCAUUCAUUUAAAGAGUGCGUAACAGCUCACUAGUCGAGGAGUUUGGCGUGGAUAAUAAUCGGGCAUCAAGCAAUUUACCGAAGCUAUGGGAUCAGUAAUGAUCGGUAGGGGAGCAUUCCACUCUGCGUCGAAGGUGAAGCGUGAGCUUUGCUGGAGCGUGUGGAAAAGCAAAUGUAGGUAUAAGUAACGAUAAAGGGGGUGAGAAACCCCCUCGCCGAAAGACUAAGGUUUCCUGAUCAACGCUAAUCGGAUCAGGGUUAGUCGGGUCCUAAGGCUCAGCCGAACGGUGAGGCCGAUGGCAGAACAGGUUAAUAUUCCUGUACUACCUUAAGGAGUGACGUGGAGACGGAGCAGUGAUAGCGCCGCGGACUGACGGAAUAGUCCGUUGAAGGGUGUAGAUGUUGAUCUUUGCAGGCAAAUCCACAAAGAGAGUCGAACCUGAUAGUAUGGAACGUUCUUCGGAACAAUCCAAUAGUGCGUGUAAGCAUACUCCCAAGAAAAUCCGCUAAACUUAAUCUUUAAGGUACCCGUACCGCAAACGGACACACGUAGUCGGGUUGAAUAUACUAAGGCGCUUGAGUGAUUCACGGUUAAGGAACUAGGCAAAUUGACCCUGUAACUUCGGGAUAAAGGGUCCCAACGAGAGUUGGGCGCAGAGAAUAGGUCCAGGCAACUGUUUAACAAAAACACAGGGCUGUGCUAAAUUGAAAGAUUACGUAUACAGCCUGACACCUGCCCGGUGCUGGAAGGUUAAGAGGAGAUGUCAUCGCAAGAGAAGCAUUGAAUUGAAGCCCCAGUAAACGGCGGCCGUAACUAUAACGGUCCUAAGGUAGCGAAAUUCCUUGUCGGGUAAGUUCCGACCUGCACGAAUGGUGUAAUGAUCUGGACACUGUCUCAACCGUGAGCUCAGUGAAAUUGUAGUAUCGGUGAAGAUGCCGAUUACCCGCGAUGGGACGAAAAGACCCCGUGAACCUUUACUAUAGCUUAACAUUGAAUUUGGGUAAUUGAUGUGUAGGAUAGGCCGGAGACUUUGAAUCAGGUACGCCAGUAUUUGUGGAGUCGCUGUUGAAAUACGGCCCUUUGAUUAUUUGAGUUCUAACUCGU